rnacentral:rRNA from 1 species
ACGGAAGGCAGCAGUGGGGAAUAUUGGACAAUGGGGGAAACCCUGAUCCAGCGACGCCGCGUGAGUGAAGAAGUAUUUCGGUAUGUAAAGCUCUAUCAGCAAGGAAGAAAAUGACGGUACUUGACUAAGAAGCUCCGGCUAAAUACGUGCCAGCAGCCGCGGUAAUACGUAUGGAGCAAGCGUUAUCCGGAUUUACUGGGUGUAAAGGGAGCGUAGACGGCUUUGCAAGUCUGAAGUGAAAGCCCGGGGCUCAACCCCGGAACUGCUUUGGAAACUGUAGAGCUAGAGUACAGGAGAGGUAAGCGGAAUUCCUAGUGUAGCGGUGAAAUGCGUAGAUAUUAGGAGGAACACCAGUGGCGAAGGCGGCUUACUGGACGAUAACUGACGUUGAGGCUCGAAAGCGUGGGGAGCAAACAGGAUUAGAUACCCUGGUA